GACAAACGCUGGCGGCAUGCCUAACACAUGCAAGUCGAACGGACAGAACAGGGAAGCUUUUCGGAGUGGAACUGGAAAGUUAGUGGCGGAUGGGUGAGUAACGCGUGGACAACCUACCUUGUAAAGGGGAAUAACCUCGAGAAAUUGAAGCUAAUACCCCAUAAUAACCUUGCUUCGCAUGAAGUAAGGAGGAAAGGCGGCCUUAGCGCUGUCGAUACAAGAUGGGUCCGCGUCUGAUUAGCUAGUUGGUGAGGUAAAGGCUCACCAAGGCGACGAUCAGUAGCCGGCCUGAGAGGGUGAACGGCCACAUUGGGACUGAGACACGGCCCAAACUCCUACGGGAGGCAGCAGUGGGGAAUCUUCCGCAAUGGGCGAAAGCCUGACGGAGCAAUGCCGCGUGAGUGAAGAAGGCCUUCGGGUUGUAAAACUCUGUCCUUAUCGAAGAGAGAGUGUUGUAGUAACUGACAAUACUAGGACGGUAGAUGAGGAGGAAGCCCCGGCUAACUAUGUG
rnacentral:rRNA from 1 species